rnacentral:piRNA from 1 species
UCCUUUCACAGGGGUCACCAGCGGAUAAC